UACGGGGGGGGCAAGCGUUGUUCGGAAUUACUGGGCGUAAAGGGCUCGUAGGCGGCCAACUAAGUCGGACGUGAAAUCCCCAGGCUCAACCUGGGAACUGCGUCCGAUACUGGAUGGCUUGAAUCCGGGAGAGGGAUGCAGAAUUCCAGGUGUAGCGGUGAAAUGCGUAGAUAUCUGGAGGAAUACCGGUGGCGAAGGCGGCCCCCUGGUUGGAUACUGACGCUGAUACGCGAAAGCGUGGGGAGCAAACAGG
rnacentral:rRNA from 1 species